rnacentral:rRNA from 1 species
AUCUGACCUUUGGGGGUCGAGUUGUAAUUUGCAGAGGGUGUUUCGGGCACGGUGCCGGUUUAAGUCCUUUGGAACAGGGUGUCAUAGAGGGUGAGAACCCCGUAUGUGACCGGUCGCCAAACCCAUGUGAAACCCCUUCGACGAGUCGAGUUGUUUGGGAAUGCAGCUCAAAAUGGGUGGUAAAUUUCAUCUAAAGCUAAAUAUUGGCCAGAGACCGAUAGCGCACAAGUAGAGUGAUCGAAAGAUGAAAAGCACUUUGGAAAGAGAGUCAAACAGCACGUGAAAUUGUUGAAAGGGAAGCGCUUGCGACCAGACCUGCUCGCGGGUGAUCAGCGGUGCUUUUCGCGCCGUGCACUCAUCCGCGAUCAGGCCAGCAUCGGUUCAGGCGGCCGGACAAAGACUCGGAGAAUGUAGCUCCCUCCGGGGAGUGUUAUAUCUCCUUGUGCAAUACGGCCAGCCGGGACCGAGGACCGCGCUUCGGCUAGGAUGCUGGCGUAAUGGUCGUAAGCGACCCGUCUUGAAACACGGACCAAGGAGUCUAACAUCUGUGCGAGUGUUUGGGCGUUAAACCCAUGCGCGCAAUGAAAGUGAACGUGAGGUGGGAACCCUCUCGGGGGCGCACCAUCGACCGAUCCAGAUGUCUUCGGAUGGAUUUGAGUAAGAGCACAGCUGUUGGGACCCGAAAGAUGGUGAACUAUGCCUGAAUAGGGUGAAGCCAGAGGAAACUCUGGUGGAGGCUCGCAGCGGUUCUGACGUGCAAAUCGAUCGUCAAAUUUGGGUAUAGGGGCGAAAGACUAAUCGA